rnacentral:rRNA from 1 species
CGGAGGGUGCGAGCGUUAAUCGGAAUUACUGGGCGUAAAGGGUGCGUAGGUGGUUGUAUAAGUUAACUGUGAAAGACCUGGGCUCAACCUGGGCGGGUCAGUUAAGACUGUAUAGCUAGAGUAUAGGAGAGGGUAGUGGAAUUUCCGGUGUAGCGGUGAAAUGCGUAGAGAUCGGAAGGAACAUCGGUGGCGAAGGCGGCUACCUGGCCUGAUACUGACACUGAGGCACGAAAGCGUGGGUAGCAAACAGGAUUAGAUACCCUGGUAGUCCACGCUGUAAACGAUGUCAACUAGCUGUUGGCCUUAUAGAAGGGGUUAGUGGCGCAGCAAACGCGAUAAGUUGACCGCCUGGGGAGUACGGUCGCAAGAUUA